rnacentral:rRNA from 1 species
GACGAACGCUGGCGGCGUGCCUAAUACAUGCAAGUCGAGCGAACUUUUUCUGGUGCUUGCACUAGAAAAACUUAGCGGCGAACGGGUGAGUAACACGUAAAGAACCUGCCUCAUAGACUGGGACAACUAUUGGAAACGAUAGCUAAUACCGGAUAACAGUAUUUCUCGCAUGAGAGAUAUUUAAAAGUUGGUUAUGCUAACACUAUGAGAUGGCUUUGCGGUGCAUUAGCUAGUUGGUGGGGUAAAGGCCCACCAAGGCGACGAUGCAUAGCCGACCUGAGAGGGUGAUCGGCCACACUGGGGCUGAGACACGGCCCAGACUCCUACGGGAGGCAGCAGUAGGGAAUCUUCCGCAAUGGGCGAAAGCCUGACGGAGCAACGCCGCGUGAGUGAAGAAGGAUUUCGGUUCGUAAAGCUCUGUUGUUAGGGAAGAAUGGAUAUGUAGUAACUAUACAUGUAAGAGACGGUACCUAACCAGAAAGCC